ensembl:snRNA Gm26449 predicted gene, 26449
AAACUCGCUUCCCCAGCUCAUAUACUAAAAUUGGAGCGAUACAGAGAUUAGCAUGGCCCCUGGGCGAGGAUGACAUGCAAAUUCGUGAAGUGUUCCAUAUUUUU